UACAGAGGGGGCAAGCGUUGUUCGGAAUUACUGGGCGUAAAGGGCGCGUAGGCGGCCUGCUAAGUCGAACGUGAAAUCCCUGGGCUCAACCCAGGAACUGCGUCCGAUACUGGUUGGCUUGAAUCCGGGAGAGGGAUGUGGAAUUCCAGGUGUAGCGGUGAAAUGCGUAGAUAUCUGGAGGAACACCGGUGGCGAAGGCGGCAUCCUGGACCGACACUGACGCUGAGGAGCGAAAGCCAGGGGAGCAAACGGG
rnacentral:rRNA from 1 species